GCUCCUACGGGAGGCAGCAGUAGGGAAUCUUCCACAAUGGGCGAAAGCCUGAUGGAGCAACGCCGCGUGGGUGAAGACGGUCUUCGGAUCGUAAAACCCUUUUGUUAGAGAAGAAAGUGCGUGAGAGUAACUGUUCACGUUUCGACGGUAUCUAACCAGAAAGCCACGGCUAACUACGUUCCAGCAGCCGCGUUAAUACGUAGGUGGCAAGCGUUAUCCGGAUUUAUUGGGCGUAAAGAGAACUCUGGCGGUCUCUUAAGUCUGAUACGAAAGCCUUCGGCUU
rnacentral:rRNA from 1 species